rnacentral:lncRNA from 1 species
UGUCUCGUCUUGUCAUAUUAAAGGUUUUUAAGGACUUUAAUUAGGUAUACCGGUUAGGGAGACGACAGAGAGCAGCCCUUUCCACGCCCAGACACUUGAUGGAGGAUGAUCACUUUGGCAGGUACAGGCUGGCAAGCUGAACCGAUGUAAAUUAACCAGGAAAGGUUAAAUUAGAGUAAAAUGAGGAUUGCAGACAAAUCUAUGAAGCAAAGUUAAUCCUGUCUGCUGCGCUGCAUCCCGCCAUGCAGCGGCUUGGGAUGAGGAGUCGGUUACACGCGGGUCGUCGAUAAUUGUUUCCUUAAAAACAAAUUCUGAUACAGGAGGCUGAGUUAAGGCUCUGAGCUCACCCCGAAGGGCAGUGUACCUCCUGUCUAAAACUGUGUUUUUAAAGCUGCCCAGCGCUUUGUAAAGGAAGUACAGCAAAGCUAAUGCCCGGUUGUAAGGCCCACCCUCACACCCGUGCAUCCUCCUCCUUCUUCUUGCAGGACGCCAAAUCGGCCCAAGCCGCAUCUCCUGAUCCACGGGUCCAGAUUCACCUCUCCUGCUGCCAAGGCCUGGGGCUGGGGCAGCCCAGCACCCCCGGCUCUGCCAGCCCCGGCCGUGAGCACCCACAUGCAGCUGCCACCCAAACGCCCUGCGUGCCAGCACCCAGAGGCUUGAAAAGUCCCAGUUCAGCCAUCAGGCCGUGCCUUUGAGGGGCUGGGUGCAUCGCCACCGAGCGUGCCUCGCAGCUCCGCUGGGCACGGAUCACAUCGCCACCCAGCACGGGUCACAUCGCCACCCAGCACGGAUCACAUCGCCACCCAGCACGGAUCACAUCGCCACCCAGCACGGAUCGCCUCGCCACCCAGCACGGAUCACAUCGCCACCCAGCACGGAUCACAUCGCCACCCAGCAUGCAUCGCCUCGCCACCCAGCACGGACCACAUCGCCACCCAGCACAGAUCACAUCGCCACCCAGCACGGGUCACAUCGCCACCCAGCACGGAUCACAUCGCCACCCAGCACGGAUCACAUCGCCGCCCAGCACACCGCGCGUUGCCACUGAGCGCUCAGAACACUGCUGCUGAGCACGCAGGCCGCCAGCCCUGCCGAGCUGCCCCAGGCAGCACCCAGGCACUGCGCAGAGCUGGCGGGCGCAGGGAACUCGCUCUUUAAAGCUCCGGAGAAAUGCAGUGCAUUUAUCAGCUGUGAGUGGAUAUCAUUGUGUUUAUAACAGAGUGGAGGCACCAUGCAAUUUUGCUCUUGAAAUUGGUUUAUAUAGAUGACUGGUUGCUGUGAAGUGUGUGUCAGAGUUGCAUGCAGCGGUUAUGAAGUAGUACAAUUGUCAUCGCUUCUUACAUGGUUGUUGAGAAGAGCUUGAGAGCCCGGCUCAGUCAGCUGUUGAAUAGAUAACCCAACACAGUUAACGUGGCAUACAUUGUAAAGAAUUACAUGCCUGCUACAAUGAGCUCUGGGCCUUUGGUCUAGAUAAUAAUCCUGGUGGGUGUACCACGUGUAGUGGCUGUCUGAUCGCUCAGAUAUGACUGACGAAACAUAAAGAAAAAUGUCAGUCGACUAAAAGAAAAAUGCUGCUGUAAGUUUGUUUAAGGUUCAUGUAAACGGCUGUGCUUUUUUAUUUAACCCCGAGUCUACCGAAGACUUGGCUGUCAAGCUAAAUGCGUCUCCAUGUGCAAGCUGCGGAUGAAACUCCAU